AAAAUGGCUUUUUCCACUCACAGCAGCAUCACGUUGAGGCUGAUCCUCGUGAAAAGCCUCGUUACUGUCAGGCAGUUUUUGCUGGGCCGUUAGUCGAUGUGUGAAUGGUGCAGGAGGAAAACUUUUCUUUGGCGCUGGAACGUCACUGCUCGUCCAGACAAGUGAAUCGUCUGAGCCGUCCUACUACAGGCUGAGUGGACAAGAUGAAAAAGGGAAAAACAUCUCGGCCUGCCUGGCCAGCGACUUCAGCGACUUCAACACCACUAGAGACAGUGUGCUGUUCAAUGGGACGGAGGCGACCCGGAUGGAGGGAGACCGUUUCUACAGCCAGGUGGCGCUGUACAAGCCAGAGGACGGGCAGGAUUGCCCGGAAACAUCUGGACCCGGCUGUGGCGGUGGACUCUUCAGCCCAGACGUGGGGGUGAACACCGUGUCCUUCAUCGUGCUCGGCCUCAGGCUCCUCCUCCUGAAGACCAUCGUCUUCAACGUCCUGAUGACCCUGCGGCUUUGGAUCAGUUAGAACGCAGCAGGACGCCGCAGCGUCGGGACGUCGGGACGUCCUGCAGCCUGUCGGACGCUCCCCGUGUGCCAGAGCCCGGCUCGGGCUUUAAAUCAUGAAUGAGUUUUCUAUUUGUUCUUUGUUUUUUUUUGAUCAUUUUAUCAUUUUAUCAUUGGAUCAUUUCCACUGCAGUGUCUCUGUCCUGUAAAUAUCCCGGCUCCAUGUCCCCGUCCCGUCCCUCAUGUGUCUCUC
rnacentral:lncRNA from 1 species